rnacentral:rRNA from 1 species
AGGACGAACGCUGGCGGCGUGCUUAACACAUGCAAGUCGAGCGAGGCCCACCUUUCGGGGUGGUGUCCUAGCGGCGAACGGGUGAGUAACACGUGGGCAACCUGCCCUCAGCUCUGGGAUAACUCCAAGAAAUUGGGGCUAAUACCGGAUAUGACCGCUGACCGCAUGGUCUGGUGGUGGAAAGAUUUAUCGGCUGGGGAUGGGCCCGCGGCCUAUCAGCUUGUUGGUGGGGUAGUGGCCUACCAAGGCGACGACGGGUAGCCGGCCUGAGAGGGUGACCGGCCACACUGGGACUGAGACACGGCCCAGACUCCUACGGGAGGCAGCAGUGGGGGAAUAUUGCGCAAUGGGCGAAAGCCUGACGCAGCGACGCCGCGUGGGGGAUGACGGCCUUCGGGUUGUAAACCGUCUUUCAGCAGGGACGAAGCGAGAGUGACGGUACCUGCAGAAGAAGCACCGGCCAACUACGCGCCAGCAGCCGC